rnacentral:rRNA from 1 species
GAUGAACGCUGGCGGCGUGCCUAAUACAUGCAAGUCGAGCGAACAGACGCGAAGUUUGCUCCUCUGUCGUUAGCGGCGGACGUGUGAGUCACACGUGGAUAACCUCCCUCUCAUCCUGGUAUAACUUCGGAACACCGGCGCUAAUCCCGGAUAAUCUCUUGAACCGCAUGGUUCAAUAGAGAAAGACGGUUUUGCUGUCACUUAUAGAUGUAUCCGCGCCUCAUUAGUUAGUUGGUAGGCUAACGGCUUACCAAGGCACCGAUGCGUAGCCGACCUGUGAGGGGGAAGGGCGACUCUGGAGCUGAGACGCGGUCCAGACUCCUACGGGAGGCAGCAGUAGGGAAUCUUGCGAAAUGGGCGAAAGCUUGACGGAGCAGCGCCGCGUGAGUGAUGAAGGUCUGCGGAUCGGAAAACUCUGUUAUGGGGGAAGAACAAAUGCGUAAGUAACUAUGCACGUCUUGACGGUACCUAAUCAGAAAGCAACGGCUAACUACGUG